rnacentral:rRNA from 1 species
AGUCGAACGCGAAAGUGGAGCAAUCCACAAGUAGAGUAGCAAACGGGUGAGUAACACGUGGGUGACCUGCCUUCGAGUGGGGGAUAACGUCCCGAAAGGGACGCUAAUACCGCAUAACAUGCUGCCUUUUAAGAGGUGGACAUCAAAGCUGGGGACCGCAAGGCCUAGCGCUUGGAGAGGGGCCCGCGUCCGAUUAGCUAGUUGGUGAGGUAAUGGCUCACCAAGGCAAACGAUCGGUAGCCGGCCUGAGAGGGCGGACGGCCACACUGGGACUGAAACACGGCCCAGACUCCUACGGGAGGCAGCAGUGGGGAAUUGUUCGCAAUGGGCGCAAGCCUGACGACGCAACGCCGCGUGGAGGAUGAAGAUCUUCGGGUCGUAAACUCCUUUCGAUCGAGACGAAUGGCCCUUGGGCUAAUCACCAGGGGAAUGACGGUACCGAGAGAAGAAGCCCCGGCUAACUCCGUGCCAGCAGCCGCGGUAAUACGGGGGGGGCAAGCGUUGUUCGGAAUUACUGGGCGUAAAGGGCUCGUAGGCGGCCAACUAAGUCAGACGUGAAAUCCCUCGGCUUAACCGGGGAACUGCGUCUG